CAGGGAUCACUCCCCUUGCCCUGGCUACUGCUGAAGCCACAUCUUGAAUGCUGCCUUCAGUUUUGGGACUCUCAUUCCUAGAGGGACAUUGAGAGGCUGGAGCGAGUCCAGAGAAGGGCAGUGGAGCAGCAGGCUGCAGGUAUCACAGUAUCACAGGCUUCUCCAAGAAGAAAUGCUACCUAAGAGCAGUUCAUGGCUGGAGGAAGCUUUACAAGCCACAGGGAAUGACCUGCAUGCUAGGUCUCACUGUCUCCAGCCAGGAGAAGUCCAGGAUGUUUUUCUGGUCCAGGAGCCUGAACUCCAGCUCUCCUAGACAAAAGAAAACAAAAGUGCAACAUUUUCUUCCUUUCCCUUCACCAGGGACUGGUAAGCAAGAAAAUUUGAUUUUCUUAUGCUAGCUUUCAUCUAAUCCCCAGUUAAGGCUAAUAUAAAAAGGGAGGGGGCUGGAGCACUUCUGGUGAU